GAUGAACGCUGGCGGCGUGCCUAAUACAUGCAAGUCGAGCGAAUGGAUUAAGAGCUUGCUCUUAUGAAGUUAGCGGCGGACGGGUGAGUAACACGUGGGUAACCUGCCCAUAAGACUGGGAUAACCCCGGGAAACCGGGGCUAAUACCGGAUAACAUUUUGAACCGCAUGGUUCGAACUUGAAAGGCGGCUUCGGCUGUCACUUAUGGAUGGACCCGCGUCGACUUAGCUAGUUGGUGAGGUAACGGCUCACCAAGGCAACGAUGCGUAGCCGACCUGAGAGGGUGAUCGGCCACACUGGGACUGAGACACGGCCCAGACUCCUACGGGAGGCAGCAGUAGGGAAUCUUCCGCAAUGGACGAAAGUCUGACGGAGCAACGCCGCGUGAGUGAUGAAGGCUUUCGGGUCGUAAAACUCUGUUAUUAGGGAAGAACAAGUGCUAGUUGAAUAAGCUGGCACCUUGACGGUACCUAACCAGAAAGCCACGGCUAACUACGUGCCAGCCGCCGCUGUAA
rnacentral:rRNA from 1 species